rnacentral:rRNA from 1 species
AUGUCUCAAACCUGCCUGCCGCCUGGCUUUCGUUUCCAUCCAACUGAUGUUGAGUUUGUUUCUUACUACUUGAAAAGGAAGAUUAUGGGGAAGAAACUUUUUGUCGAAGCUAUCUCAGAGGUUGAGCUGUACAAAUUUGCUCCUUGGGACCUCCUGAUAAAUCAUAAAUCAUGUCUCCAGAGCAAAGAUCUUGAGUGGUUCUUCUUUUGCCCCCAUGACAAAAAAAAUCCUAAAGGGUCUUGGACGAACCGUACCACACCGAAUGGUUAUUGGAAAACAAGUGGAAAAGACGGAACUAUUGACCUGAACUCUCGCAUUGUUGGGUUGAAGAAAACAUUGAUUUUUCAUGAAGGCAAGGCACCCAAAGGCAAUAGGACUGAUUGGGUAAUGUAUGAAUACAAAAUGGAAGAUGAAACCUUGGUGUCUACUGGUUUCUCAAAGGAUGCUUAUGUACUCAGUGGGCUUGGCCCAAGGAUUGGUGAGCAAUAUAGGGCUCCUUUUGAUGGAAAUGAAUGGGAGAAUUUAGAUGUUGGAACUUAUAUCUUGUCUUUUGCACCAUCGUCAGGUGUAGAGGAUUCACAGGUCGAAAGUUCUGCCUGGGUUACUGCCAUAGUUAUUCGGGAACCAUCCGCUCCUCAGCAGUCUGUUCAAUUUUCUGAACAUGUUAAUAUCUGUUCUGAUGAGGUUGCUGGCUUAACUUGA